rnacentral:lncRNA from 1 species
AGAAACCGGUGUAGUGUUUCCCAAAUGCUUCCCAAUAAUAAUCCCGCCGCUCCUUUGCGUUUCCGGCAGCUCUGAAAACUUUUUGAUUUACAACAGAAAAAACAAUACAAUUUUAGAGCUCGCCUUGCAAAAAAAAGCAGUCGACGCCCCUCGCACACUCUUCUCCCUGCUGGAUGCGCACGGUGCCCUGCUUUCCUGUCCGCGACUCCUUUAAACAAUUAGUGGCAGUGAGUCUGGGGAAGAGUCAACUUUUAACUCCACACCACAGUAGGAAGCAGCUAAACAGAAAAAAAAUGGGAUAAAGCUCAGGAUCAACGGCCGCUGUUCCCCCGUCGACUUUGCUUCUGCCUCUCGCUGAGCUGGAGUUCAACAGUCAACGGGAGAGUGCGAUAAAUCGAUCCCUGAUAAAUUGAUCGCUACCCGCUGAUCCGGCUGGAAGUGUAGAUGUACCCUAAGGUGCCACAGGUACUCCUCGUUCUUUUUGCUGAUACAGACUAACAUAGCAACCACUCUGAAACCAUGGAAAUUAGUUUUCUGUCUUCAUUACCGCAAUGUACACCGCACUCUUUUGAAAAUGUAAUUAAAGCAAAGAGUUGUAAAUUGUGUAUUUUAAUGGAUUGCUUAUUCGCCGCCCAAACUUAAAAAAACAAUUCUGUAAUCUAACAAAAGUAAUAGUGUGUGUAUCCUAACAGGAACUAUAAAACUAAUCUAUUGGAG